rnacentral:rRNA from 1 species
UACGUAGGGGGGCAAGCGUUAUCCGGAUUUACUGGGUGUAAAGGGAGCGCAGACGGGUUAGCAAGUCUGAAGUGAAGCCCCACGGCUCAACUGUGGGCUUGCUUUGGAAACUGUCAACCUAGAGUGCUGGAGGGGCAAGCGGAAUUCCUGGUGUAGCGGUGAAAUGCGUAGAUAUCAGGAGGGACACCGGUGGCGAAGGCGGCUUGCUGGACAGUAACUGACGUUCAGGCUCGAAGGCGUGGGGAGCAAA